AUUGAACGCUGGCGGCAUGCCUUACACAUGCAAGUCGAACGGCAGCGCGGGAGCAAUCCUGGCGGCGAGUGGCGAACGGGUGAGUAAUAUAUCGGAACGUGCCCAGUAGUGGGGGAUAGCCCGGCGAAAGCCGGAUUAAUACCGCAUGAGACCUGAGGGUGAAAGCGGGGGAUCGCAAGACCUCGCGCUAUUGGAGCGGCCGAUAUCAGAUUAGCUAGUUGGUGGGGUAAAGGCCUACCAAGGCAACGAUCUGUAGUUGGUCUGAGAGGACGACCAGCCACACUGGGACUGAGACACGGCCCAGACUCCUACGGGAGGCAGCAGUGGGGAAUAUUGGACAAUGGGGGCAACCCUGAUCCAGCCAUGCCGCGUGUGUGAAGAAGGCCCUCGGGUUGUAAAGCACUUUAAGCGGGGAGGAAGGCCUGAUGGUUAAUACCCAUUGGGAUUGACGUUACCCGCAGAAUAAGCACCGGCAAACUUCGUGCCAGCAGCCG
rnacentral:rRNA from 1 species